rnacentral:rRNA from 1 species
CUGUAAACGAUGUCGAUUGGGAGUUUGUUGCCUAGAGUGAUGGGCUCCGAAGCUAACGCGAUAAAUCGACCGCUGGGGAGUACGGCCGCAAGGUUAAAACUCAAAUGAAUUGACGGGGGCCCGCACAAGCGGUGGAGCAUGUGGUUUAAUUCGAUGCAACGCGAAGAACCUUACCUGGUCUUGACAUCCAUAGAAUUCUGCAGAGAUGUGGGAGUGCCUUCGGGAACUAUGAGACAGGUGCUGCAUGGCUGUCGUCAGCUCGUGUUGUGAAAUGUUGGGUUAAGUCCCGCAACGAGCGCAACCCUUAUUCUUUGUUGCCAGCGAUUUGGUCGGGAACUCAAAGGAGACUGCCGUUGAUAAAGCGGAGGAAGGUGGGGACGACGUCAAGUCAUCAUGGCCCUUACGACCAGGGCUACACACGUGCUACAAUGGCGUAUACAAAGGGAAGCGAAGGUGCGAGCUGGAGCGGAUCUCAUAAAGUACGUCUAAGUUCGGAUUGGAGUCUGCAACUCGACUCCAUGAAGUCGGAAUCGCUAGUAAUCGUAGAUCAGAAUGCUACGGUGAAUACGUUCCCGGGCCUUGUACACACCGCCCGUCACACCAUGGGAGUGGGUUGCACCAGAAGUAGAUAGCUUAACCGCGAGGGGGGCGUUUACCACGGUGUGAUUCAUGACUGGGGUGAAGUCGUAACAAGGUAACCA